rnacentral:rRNA from 1 species
GACGAACGCUGGCGGCGUGCUUAACACAUGCAAGUCGAACGGUGAAGCGCCUUCCUUUUUGGUGGUUGUGGAUGAGUGGCGAACGGGUGAGUAACACGUGAGUAACCUGCCCCCUUCUUCUGGAUAACCGCAUGAAAGUGUGGCUAAUACGGGAUAUUCUGGGUCUGUCGCAUGAUGGGUCUGGGAAAGAUAUUGUUUCGGUGGGGGAUGGGCUCGCGGCCUAUCAGCUUGUUGGUGGGGUGAUGGCCUACCAAGGCGGUGACGGGUAGCCGGCCUGAGAGGGGGGGGGGACAAAGUGGGACGGAGAACCGGCCCAGACUCGCAGGGGAGGGGGGGGGGGGGAAGAUGGCACAGGGGGGGCAAGCCUGAGGCAGCGAGGCCGGGGGAGGGAGGGGGGCUGUGGGGUUGGGACCCUCUUUCGGCAGGGAAGCAGGCCGGCCUCGUUUGGGGGUGGGUUGAGGGUAGUGGGAAAAGAAGCGCCGGCUAACUAGGG